GCAUCACCACCAGCUUAGAGGAAGGAGGACGUGCCUGGUAUUAUUACUUUUGGGAUGUCCUCAUGAGAGAUUGAAAUUUGUGAACAUCAUUAGUGUUGAUCCAGAGAAGACAAACAGAGCAUCCCAGUUGCUGGCAGUGUCCUAAGGACCAAAGAAAAUGACCAAGGCUCAGGAAUCCCUGACAUUCAAUGAUGUGGCUGUAAAGUUCACCCGGGAGGAAUGGCAGCUCCUGAGCCCUGCUCAGAAGACCCUAUAUCAGGAUGUGAUGUUGGAGAACUAUCACAACCUGGUUUCCAUUGAGGCAGGCUGGAAAUUAUUCACAAGGCGUUUGAAGGAGCUGAGCUUGGAAAUCAUCCCAGAUUUGUGGUCUCUGGAUUAGCAGACUAAAUAAAAUGUGGUCUUCUCUGAUGUCUUCAAAAGUGCCACCACGCUGUAUGUUAACAUGGUUAAAAAGCAAUGAGCAUGUUAAGUAAUAUGUUCCUGAAUGGAGAGAUAGAAAGGUAAGUUAGUGGUGCCCCGCUUAAGAUAAAUAAUAAUGAUAUCUUCAAAAAGACCUGUUGUAGAAGCAGGACAUCCAGAAUUCUCACUGGAAGUUAAGAGACAAUGUUUAUACACACAGACUUCGGACACAAUAUCAGGAGGGAAUAUUCUUGGGAAAAGGACCACAUUCAUGUUGAAGUACAGGGUCACCAAGAUGGACUAACAUUGUGAUUAUAACAAUGGAAUCAAACAUGGCAAAGCCUAUGAGGAUGGUGCAGGACAAGGCACUGUUUCAUUCUA